rnacentral:rRNA from 1 species
GAUGGGCGCUGGCGGCGUGCCUAAUACAUGCAAGUCGAGCGAACAGACGAGAGUGCUUGCACUCUCUGCCGUUAGCGGCGGACGGGUGAGUAACACGUGGGUAACCUACCUAUAAGACUGGGAUAACUUCGGGAAACCGGAGCUAAUACCGGAUAAUAUUUAGCUUCGCAUGAAGCAAUAGUGAAAGACGGUUCUGCUGUCACUUAUAGAUGGACCCGCGGUGUAUUAGCUAGUUGGUGAGGUAACGGCUCACCAAGGCAACGAUACAUAGCCGACCUGAGAGGGUGAUCGGCCACACUGGGACUGAGACACGGCCCAGACUCCUACGGGAGGCAGCAGUAGGGAAUCUUCCGCAAUGGACGAAAGUCUGACGGAGCAAUGCCGCGUGAGUGAAGAAGGUUUUCGGAUCGUAAAACUCUGUUGUAAGGGAAGAACAAGUGCGUUAGUAACUGAACGUACCUUGACGGUACCUUACCAGAAAGCCACGGCUAACUACGUG